UACGUAGGGUGCAAGCGUUGUCCGGAAUCAUUGGGCGUAAAGCGCGCGUAGGUGGCUUCGUAAGUCCGUUGUGAAAGUCAAAGGCUCAACCUUUGAAAGCCGAUGGAUACUGCGGAGCUAGAGUACGGAAGAGGCGAGUGGAAUUCCUGGUGUAGCGGUGGAAUGCGCAGAUAUCAGGAGGAACACCAAUAGCGAAGGCAGCUCGCUGGGACGUUACUGACACUAAGGCGCGAAAAGCGUGGGGAGCGAACAGG
rnacentral:rRNA from 1 species